UACGUAGGGUGCAAGCGUUAAUCGGAAUUACUGGGCGUAAAGCGUGCGCAGGCGGCUUUGCAAGACAGAUGUGAAAUCCCCGGGCUUAACCUGGGAAUGGCAUUUGGGACUGCAAGGCUGGAGUUUGGCAGAGGAGACUGGAAUUCCCGGUGUAGCAGUGAAAUGCGUAGAUAUCUGGAGGAACACCGGUGGCGAAGGCGGCAUCCUGGACCGGCAUUGACGCUGAGGCGCGAAAGCCAGGGGAGCAAACGGG
rnacentral:rRNA from 1 species